rnacentral:rRNA from 1 species
UAGGGAAUCUUCGGCAAUGGGGGCAACCCUGACCGAGCAACGCCGCGUGAGUGAAGAAGGUUUUCGGAUCGUAAAGCUCUGUUGUAAGAGAAGAACGUGUGUGAGAGUGGAAAGUUCACACAGUGACGGUAACUUACCAGAGAGGGACGGCUAACUACGUGCCAGCAGCCGCGGUAAUACGUAGGUCCCGAGCGUUGUCCGGAUUUAUUGGGCGUAAAGCGAGCGCAGGCGGUUUAAUAAGUCUGAAGUUAAAGGCAGUGGCUUAACCAUUGUUCGCUUUGGAAACUGUUAAACUUGAGUGCAGAAGGGGAGAGUGGAAUUCCAUGUGUAGCGGUGAAAUGCGUAGAUAUAUGGAGGAACACCGGUGGCGAAAGCGGCUCUCUGGUCUGUAACUGACGCUGAGGCUCGAAAGCGUGGGGAGCAAACAGG